rnacentral:rRNA from 1 species
UACGUAGGUGGCGAGCGUUGUCCGGAUUUACUGGGCGUAAAGCGCGUGUAGGCGGCCCUGCAAGUCGGGUGUGAAAUCCCACGGCUCAACCGUGGAAGUGCACUCGAAACUGCAGGGCUAGAGUCCUGGAGAGGAAGGUGGAAUGCUUGGUGUAGAGGUGAAAUUCGUAGAUAUCAAGCGGAACACCGGUGGCGAAGGCGGCCUUCUGGACAGUGACUGACGCUGAGACGCGAAAGCGUGGGGAGCAAACAGG